GCUCUUAAACUCAUCUGCUGUGUGAUCCCUCUAAAAAAUCGGCCCACCAGUCAUCACCUUGUAACGUGCGAGGCUGCAUUCACUCCCCUACUUUCGGCGUUUCUCCCUCUCCGCUUGCGCAAUGUAUUAAUGAAGAACCGUAAAGUGUUAAAUGUUUGAAAUACAAAACCGCCGAAUUCCACAUGCUGAAAAAGGACUCCGCUACUCGUGCGCGCGGCACUGGUGUGUCUGUGCAAUAGACUCUGCAAAGAAAAACUACUCUCGCACGCCUGCAAGUCCGCGGCUGCAAAAAGGACGCUUAAACCCUCAUUUUUCAGUUUCAAGACAAACGCUUAAAAAUCAAACUGGCUCACGUUCUUUCCAACCAACCCAGUUUGACAGCUGCUCUUCACCCCACUUGGAGGACUGUCAGCAGCAAGAGGAUGGCAUCAGAGCUGGCAAUGAGCAACUCCGACCUGCCCACCAGUCCCCUGGCCAUGGAAUAUGUUAAUGACUUCGAUCUGAUGAAGUUUGAAGUGAAAAAGGAGCCGGUGGAGCCCGAUCGCAACAUCAGCCAGUGCAGUCGCCUUAUCGCCGGGGGAUCCUUGUCUUCCACCCCGAUGAGCACGCCGUGCAGCUCGGUGCCCCCUUCCCCAAGCUUCUCGGCGCCCAGUCCGGGCUCGGGGAGCGAGCAGAAGACACACAUAGAGGAUUUCUACUGGAUGUCCGGUUAUCAACAGCAGUUGAAUCCAGAGGCGCUGGGCUUCAGCCCCGAAGACGCAGUCGAGGCGCUGAUCAACAGCAGUCACCAGCUCCAGUCGUUCGAUGGCUAUGCCAGGGGCCAGCAGUUCGCUGGCGCAGCCGGAGCAGGGGGCACCAUGGCCGGGGAAGAGAUGGGGUCCGCAGCGGCGGUGGUGUCGGCAGUUAUCGCUGCUGCAGCCGCUCAGAACGGAGGGCAACACCACCACCAUCACCACCACCACCACAGCAACAGCCACCACCAAGCACCUGGCGUCCAGUCCAACGGCACUUCUGGGACAAUUCACCCUCACAUGCGCUUGGAUGACCGUUUUUCAGACGACCAGCUGGUCAGCAUGUCAGUGCGGGAGCUCAACCGGCAGCUACGGGGGGUCAGCAAGGAAGAAGUGAUCAGAUUGAAACAGAAGAGGAGGACCCUAAAGAACAGAGGCUACGCGCAGUCCUGCCGGUUCAAGCGGGUCCAGCAGCGGCACGUCCUAGAGGGAGAGAAGACGCAACUCGUCCAGCAGGUCGAUCACCUAAAGCAGGAGAUCUCCAGGCUGGUCCGGGAGAGGGACGCGUACAAAGAAAAGUAUGAGAAGCUCAUCAGCAACGGCUUCAGAGAAAAUGGAUCCAGCAGUGACAACAACCCUUCAUCCCCGGAGUUUUUCAUGUCAUCCAGAAAAUUCCUCCAUCUGUGAUUUCAAGCCCCAAUCGUCCGUGCCCUUGGCUCUCUGAGGCAGGCACACCUCAGGGGUUCGCCAUGCAAAGACACACUGGAGUUCAGAGCCGUGCAGGGAGUUGAAGGACCCAGAAUAUGCUGACAAAGAUAAAACACCAGAUAACCCAAUGACUGAGCAGUGAUGACAUCAGACCGGCUGACCAAUUGCACGAAGACACCUACAAAGCACAACGUUCAAAAAUAACACUGAAGAACAAAAGACAAGACCCGCUGAAAGUCCUACAGUGAAAUUCUUGAAAGCCUCUUACUACUCCUGAUUCUCUCCCUAAUAUUUUACCUCCAGCUUUUUUCUACAAAACACGAAAGAAAAAAAAAAGACUCAUACUCCUGAGAUGGUUGACAAUGUCAGAUAAAUACACUGGAAGGACUAUUUUCUCUUCGGAGGGAAGAUCAUUAAUGCAUGCCUCUGUAAAUAGAUCAUAAUAAAACCCAAUUCUUAUUCCUAGUAUAGGAAACAUAACAAGUCGUUCUCAUCAACUUCACAAAUCUUCAUGUCUGUGGAUUGAGUACUCAUGGUUCAAUAUUUUCCAUAUAAAAUAGGUAUUCUUCUUAUCUCCUCAGAGACCAUGUACUUAUUGUUUCCAAUAUCAUUUCUCUACUCUUUGGAGUUAUUUGGACUGUAAAAAGUGUACUUCCUAAUCUUCUUAUUCUCUUAACAUAACAGCCUAGUCUUCCUUUCCAAUAUCCACACUAGAACAUGUAAAUAGAGAUGAAUGAGGACAACAGCAUGGAACAGACUUUAGUGUAUAUUUACCACUCCCCUAGUAGAUCACAAAUCGCAAUAUGUGGAUAUUUCAGUUAACCAUUUUAAAAGUUUUAAAUACUUGAACUUAUUUUCUGAUAGUUAAGACAUAGUCCUAGGUAUCUUGACUUUUCCUAUGUAUUUAAAUAGAUGCAUAAAGGCAUUAGCUAUAGGUAAUUAUAUUAUUUGACUACCUUAGGGCCUUAGGGUAGUCAAAGGCAGCAAUCCAUUUGGUAUCAUCAAUCAGUUCCAUCAGUUAACAAAUGGUCAAAAUGAA